rnacentral:rRNA from 1 species
UGCGGAGGAUGCAAGCGUUAUCCGGAUUCAUUGGGUUUAAAGGGUGCGUAGGCGGGCUAUUAAGUCAGUGGUGAAAUCCUGCAGCUUAACUGCAGAACUGCCGUUGAUACUGAUAGUCUUGAGUUUGGUUAAGGUAGGCGGAAUGUGUAAUGUAGCGGUGAAAUGCUUAGAUAUUACACAGAACACCAAUUGCGUAGGCAGCUUACUGAGCCGACACUGACGCUGAGGCACGAAAGCGUGGGGAUCAAACAGGA